CAGUAACGAUGGGUAGAGGUA
rnacentral:miRNA from 1 species